UGCACUCACUACUGUGAGUCGCUCUGGAUAAGAGCGUCUGCUAAAUUAUGUAAA
rfam:Salmo salar isolate Sally breed double haploid chromosome ssa12, whole genome shotgun sequence.